rnacentral:lncRNA from 1 species
UUCACUGGAUGGGUGGAUGCACAGUGUCUGGUCCUGGGAUCAGGAAAUGGAGUAACUUGGGAAGACAGCAUAGCCCAUUGGGAGCCAGGAAGACAGGACAGCUGGAAUCAAGUGAAAGGCCCCCAAGAGAGGUUUUGGCUGAGGGACUGAAGUGCAGCUUCUCCACUACAAUUAUACCUGGGCCUGCGCAGGCAGGGGGUGCCCCUCUAAAGCUCUUAGUUUCUUAUGCAAGGGCCUGUUACUUGCUGGUCUGAGCAACAUCCCCUCCAGGAGGCAGGUAUCUUUGUGUGUUUUGAGUAGCUUCCAUGCCUUGUGCAUACAUCUAUAAUGAAUACCAGCGUGGGUGGAUCCCGAGCCAGGAGGAGGAAGCCGGGCACUGGCCCGGUUGGCUGCUCACCCCAAAGGGUCGGUAGGAAGGCAGUUCUGAUAUCCUGAAAAAAUGUUUGCGGUCAUACCCCUUCCUCAGAAAGCCAGCACUACAGAGAGAACUCAAAUGCACACACUGAGUCGUGAUUCCAGCA